GGCAGAGUGCAGCCUUCUGGGGACCCAAGCCUGAGUACAACUAUCACCCCCUGACCCUGGGGUGAGCUCCUGCCUCGUCCUCCUAAAGCUCAGGCUCCCUCAGAGUCAGAGAGCUGAUUUGUCUCCCUCUGAGGUGUGUGUGUGGGGGCACCCUCAGGCUCUGGAAUUUGCUUAUCACUCAGGGAGUGCCCUCCUCCCUGGAACUGUAUGCUUCCCAGCCCCAGGGAACAUAGUGGGCACGCAGUAGGUAUCAGCUCAUAGUAGGUAUUCCCUGAGUUUCUGUAGAAAGAAGGAACAAAUGCAUAUUGCCCAUCACCAUGAAGUACUGAAAGGAUGAGACCCUCAAAGUUUCAGGGAGCUACACCCCCACUCUGGGACAUGGCUGAGAACUUUCUCUGCCUCUCCCAUCCUGGGUGGCCAGAAGUCCAGCUACCCCGGGAGGAGGAAAGAGGAACCCAGGCCCAGGCAGGAGGAUCAGCAGGAGGCAGGGUACUACUUGCCUGCCCAUAGGUCUGGUUCGUGUUCAAAGGACUCAUUUCCGCCUGUGAGAGUGAGUUAUCUUCUUGUGAAAUCAAGUUGUAGGAACAAAAAGGUUCCACCAGUGAGACGCAUGUGGCCUCCUUCCUGGAAGCCCCAGGAGGCGGCCCAGCUCCCCUCUGUCUUUGUGGGCUGCUGCCACCCCCAGCUCUACAGAUGUGGUGGGCAGAGGUGCAGGGCUUCUGAGGCGGGUGCUGAGGGCAGGUACGUGUGCCCCGUGGUCAGGUGCCGCUCCUCUUGGCCAUGCCCUGCAGGGCUUCUCCUUGGGGGCUUCACCAAGGACAAUGGUGUGCUGUCACCGAG
rnacentral:lncRNA from 1 species